GUCGCCUCCUAAAAGGUAACGGAGGCGCUCAAAGGUUCCCUCAGAAUGGUUGGAAAUCAUUCAUAGAGUGUAAAGGCAUAAGGGAGCUUGACUGCGAGACCUACAAGUCGAGCAGGGUCGAAAGACGGACUUAGUGAUCCGGUGGUUCCGCAUGGAAGGGCCAUCGCUCAACGGAUAAAAGCUACCCCGGGGAUAACAGGCUUAUCUCCCCCAAGAGUUCACAUCGACGGGGAGGUUUGGCACCUCGAUGUCGGCUCAUCGCAUCCUGGGGCUGUAGUCGGUCCCAAGGGUUGGGCUGUUCGCCCAUUAAAGCGGUACGCGAGCUGGGUUCAGAACGUCGUGAGACAGUUCGGUCCCUAUCCGUCGUGGGCGUAGGAAAUUUGAGAGGAGCUGUCCUUAGUACGAGAGGACCGGGAUGGACAUACCUCUG
rnacentral:rRNA from 1 species